AUCUCGUUCUCACACUCGGGCACUCGGCACUCCGCGAGCCGCCGAUCCGUCUCGCGUUCGCCAUCUCGCUCCCGCUCUCGAUCGUUCGUCCCCGCGACGCCGAAACGGCGAAACCCUAGGGCGGCUAGGCAUGGCCAAGGACGAGAACGGCUCGGCCCCGGAUGGUGCCGGCAAGGAGGAGGGGGAGAUAGCGGCGGCGCGCAGCCGCAGCCGCAGCCGCAGCAAAUCCCUAGAAGCCGCGGAGGAGGAGGAGGGGCGUUCGAAGGGGAGGCGACACCGGGGCCACCACGGCAAGUCAAAGAGGCGUGACGAGGGGGAGGAGAGCGAGAGCUCCGACGAGGACUCGGGGGAGCGGCGUAAGCGGCGGAGGAAGGAGAAGGAGCGGCGGCGGCGGCGGAGGAGGAGCCGCAGCGAGAGCUCGGGGUCGGAGUCGGAGCCAGAGUCUGAGUCGUCCUACUCGGGUUCCAGCGCGGAGUCGGAAAGCGAGUCGGAGUCGGAGGAGGAGAGGCGAAGGAGGCGGCGGCGGAGGAGGAAGGAGAAGGAAGAGGAGGAGAGGAGGAGGAGGAAGGAGAAGGAGAAGAGGAAGAGGAAGGAGAGGGAGAGGGAAAAGGAUAAAAAGAAGAAGAAGCGGAAGGAUGAGAAGAAGGAUUUGGGGAAGAAGGCCGCAGUGACCAACUCGUGGGGCAAGUAUGGCAUCAUCCGUGAGGUCGAUAUGUGGAACAAGCGACCAGAGUUCACCGCAUGGUUAUUAGAAGUCAAGCAGGUUAAUUUGGAGGCACUGGCUAAUUGGGAAGAAAAACAAAUGUUCAAGGAGUAUGUUACUGUGCUGACAUGAAAUUACUUGAGUUUCUGGAACUUCUAAAAAAUAUCACCCUGGAAUUACUAGAUGUUUAACAUACAUCUUUAUGUGCAUAUCAGAUUCAUGGAAGACCACAACACAGCUACGUUCCCAUCAAAAAAAUAUUAUGACUUAGAUGCUUACCAUCAACGGAUGAUGGAGAAAGA